UCGUCAGUAGCCUCUUAAGAGAUUUGAA
rnacentral:sRNA from 1 species